rnacentral:misc_RNA from 1 species
UUUCCGUAGGUGAACCUGCGGAAGGAUCAUCAAAGAGAGAGAGGCUGUGGAGAAAUCCAUGGUUUUUCAAUAGCAGGAGACUGCAAGAUCAAAGAACGUUUGGAAGUGUCGGCAACGAGAGCCAGAGGCAGUGGAUCUCUCGACUCCCGCAUCGAUGAAGAACGCAC